rnacentral:rRNA from 1 species
GUGGGGAAUAUUGGACAAUGGGCGAAAGCCUGAUCCAGCCAUGCCGCGUGUGUGAAGAAGGUCUUCGGAUUGUAAAGCACUUUAAGUUGGGAGGAAGGGCAGUAAGUUAAUACCUUGCUGUUUUGACGUUACCGACAGAAUAAGCACCGGCUAACUUCGUGCCAGCAGCCGCGGUAAUACGAAGGGUGCAAGCGUUAAUCGGAAUUACUGGGCGUAAAGCGCGCGUAGGUGGUUUUGUAAGUUGGAGGUGAAAUCCCCGGGCUCAACCUGGGAACUGCCUCCAAAACUGCAUGACUAGAGUACGGUAGAGGGUAGUGGAAUUUCCUGUGUAGCGGUGAAAUGCGUAGAUAUAGGAAGGAACACCAGUGGCGAAGGCGACUACCUGGACUGAUACUGACACUGAGGUGCGAAAGCAUGGGGAGCAAACAGGAUUAGAUACCCCUGUAGUCC